GGCGUCUUAGCUCAGCUGGGAGAGCAGCAGACUGAAGUAAACCGGAAAGAGGGCAGAUCAUCUGAAGGUCCCGUGUUCAAGCCACGGAGAUGCCA